UACGUAGGGGGCAAGCGUUGUCCGGAAUCAUUGGGCGUAAAGCGCGUGUAGGCGGCUCGGUAAGUCUGCUGUGAAAGUCCGGAGCUCAACUCCGGAGGGUCGGUGGAUACUGCCAGUCUUGAAGGUGCUAGGGGGAGAUGGAAUUACCGGUGUAGCGGUGAAAUGCGUAGAUAUCGGUAGGAACACCAGUGGCGAAGGCGGUCUCCUGGGGCAUUCUUGACGCUGAGGCGCGAAAGCUGGGGGAGCGAACGGG
rnacentral:rRNA from 1 species